rfam:Populus trichocarpa scaffold_11_contig_545, whole genome shotgun sequence.
UCUAGAACUCAAGAUAUGGGCUGAACACUGAACAGUGUCUGGGCUGUAGGACAGAUUCUGACUUCUCCGUUGUUGCUAAGAUUUGGACUUCCAAACAGUAGAAUUGAGUCUUGGACUCCUCAUGAAUGUUUUAGGCCUAUGUCUUAACUUUCUAGC